rnacentral:rRNA from 1 species
GAUGAACGCUGGCGGCGUGCCUAAUACAUGCAAGUCGAGCGAACAGACGAGGAGCUUGCUCCUCUGACGUUAGCGGCGGACGGGUGAGUAACACGUGGAUAACCUACCUAUAAGACUGGGAUAACUUCGGGAAACCGGAGCUAAUACCGGAUAAUAUAUUGAACCGCAUGGUUCAAUAGUGAAAGACGGUUUUGCUGUCACUUAUAGAUGGAUCCGCGCCGCAUUAGCUAGUUGGUAAGGUAACGGCUUACCAAGGCAACGAUGCGUAGCCGACCUGAGAGGGUGAUCGCCCACCCGGGACCGGGACCCGGGUCAAGACCCCUGGGGGAGGCACAAGUGGGAAACUUUCGGCAGUGGGGGAGACCCUGACGGAACAGCGCCGCUUGGGAGAUAAAGUUCUUCGGUCCUAAAAACCCUUUUAUUGGGGAAAAACAAAUGUGUACUAAACUAUGCCGGUCUUGACGGUACCUAACAAAAAAGCCCCGGCUAACUACGUG